CUAGGGUAUUCUGAGUGGUUGCUAGUAUGUUCCUAUACGGUUGCUAGGGUAUUCUGAGUGGUUGCUAGUAUGUUCCUAUACGGUUGCUAGGGUAUUCUGAGUGGUUGCUAGAGUGUACCUAUGCGGUUGCUAGGGUAUUCUAGGUGGUUGCUAGUAUGUUCCUAUACGGUUGCUAGGGUAUUCUAGGUGGUUGCUAGUAUGUUCCUAUGCAGUUGCUAGGAUAUUCUAGGUGGUUGCUAGAAUGUACCUAUGCGGUUGCUAGGGUAUUCUGAGUGGUUGCUAGGGUAUUCUAGGUGGUUGCUAGUAUAUUCCUAUGCGGUUGCUAGGGUAUUCUAGAUGGUUGCUAGUAUGUUCCUAUGCGGUUGCUAGGGUAUUCUAGGUGGUUGCUAGAGUGUUCCUAUAUGGUUGCUAGGAUAUUCUAGGUGGUUGCUAGUAUGAUCUUAUGCAGUUGCUAGGGUAUUCUAGGUGGUUGCUAAUAUGAUCCUAUGCAGUUGCUAGGGUAUUCUAGGUGGUUGCUAGUAUGUUCCUAUAUGGUUGCUAGGGUAUUCUGAGUGGUUACUAGUAUGUUCCCACACAGCAGGAGACUCCUAGGCGGAUCCGCAUUCAAGUCGCCAAACCCGCGUGACUGUCACAUUCGGUUUGGCGCCGCCCAGAGGAUCAGCUCCGCCUCCAGGCAGCGCCGUAAAUUCUACUGUCAAUCAGCGGAUCCUGAGCGGACCCAUGUCGGAUCCGCGGACGUGCACGCGCCUUUACUGUAACGGUUGAACCACAGUACACCAAGAGCCGAGACGAGAGUCGUAUCAGUGGAGACUUUCUUUGCUGGGACACGGUUGCGCUGAACCCUCUUGAGUAAGUUUAUUGAUAUCAUCAUGUAUAUUAAUCCCAGAUAGCACACAUACGUGUGGCCGACUUCGGCCUCAUAUCUGUAACAUCUAAGAAGGAUCGGCCAAGCAUAGGCGCGUGUCUUCAGUCAGUGCUCUAUUUCCAGCUUGUCGGCUUUGGGUCGGAUUACGACUGCAGGCCGAUGCCGCGCUUAUCUGUUUGCGCGUGACCAUUCAUCUCUGCAACCCACGAGAGAAAUGGCGACUCCGGCGACAUCUGUGGUUUUCAGGAGUGAAAAAAUAAUUCUACAACACCGGAGGGGGAAGAGCUGCUGACAGAAGAGAAACUUUAUGAAACUCUGAGAAAGCUCAUUAAAUAACUUAAUACGCAUUUUUUCCACAAAGGGUAACACUUUAGUAUGGGAAACAAUUCUCACUUUAAACUAGUUGCUUAUUAGCUGUUUAUUAUUACUUAUAAAGCAGAUAUUAAUGCCUUAUUCUGCAUGACCUUAUUCUACAACAUCCCUAAAUCCUACCUGAUAUCCACCCUUAAACGCUAUAACUACCUUACUGUCUAUUAAUAAGCAACAUAUUAAGAGUUUGAGGCAAAAGUUAAUAGUAAAUAUGUUUCCCAUACCAAAGUGUUACCCCCACAAAAUAUUUUACCUCUAUCACCAUGCAUGUUAUUUUCUUUUGCAAAAUUAUUUUUUAAUAUUACAGUUUGUAAGGUUCUGACAUCCAAACGUAAGUAACACAGAGCAACUUCAAUCUGUAUUAGUCUAAUUUUGAUAGGUAUAUAUGUAGUGCUGGGCGGUAUACCGGUUCAUACCGAAUGCCGGUAUUUAUUUUUGUUAUGAAAUGAAUUUUGAUGAUACCGCAAUACCGGUAUGUGUCGCUUAACCAACGUUCGGAACGCAGCGCAGCCUGUCACUAAUAAAUACAUUAAUAAAUACACUGACAAUUCAAAGAAGAAUGGGCAAAAAUUUAACUGCUUUAUUCUUUCUGUGUUAAACUUACAUGUGUCAUUUAUUCAGAGACUGUAGUGCUCUUAAAUGUACUGAAAAUAUCCUUAGACAGUUUAAAUGUUCUUCCGCGUUUCUCCCUCGUUUUGGCAGUUUGUUGUUAUAUAGGGCUAGAUUUUUAAAAUGCUUAAGGUGCCCUCAACUCUUUUUUUUUUUUUCUAUCCCUAUGGUCAUAUUUUAAUAUUCAUGUGUCUGUAAUGAGUGUGUUGCAGGUCUGUGUUUUAUUGGUUGUUGUCUCCCCACAGCAUCAUUUUGUGGGGCUUUGUAAACCUGUAUUAACUCUAGUGUGGAAUUUUUCUACAAUAUUCACUCAUCAUGACAGUAAAACAGGGCAUUCUAGUCAAUCUACUGCAGUUUUUCCUCUCUCAAUCAGUAGAAAAUGUGGUUAACGCCCGGUCAUGCAUAGGGGAAAAAAUACCGUCAUAUACUGUGAAACUGAUAUCAUUUCGAAAAAUACCGUGAUAUAAAUUUUUGGUCAUACUGCCCAGCACUAGUUAAGAGUUUAUGUAAUGUAAUGUUAAGAGUUUGCCUCCAAAUAGAAUGUAUGUAGGACCCUAACAAACUUAAAACAUUACAAAACCACACUGAUUUAUCCACAUACAAUAUGUGCUCUGAUCAAGGAACCAUUUAAUACCACUGAUAUUGUUUGAACAUUUUGGAUGUCUUUUUUUUAAACAUCCGAUAGCAAAAGGCGCAGCACACCUUACCCUGAUCACGAAUUCAUAGUUUACCCACCUCUUAUUUUAACCACCACAACCCUGUUUAUGACUUUGUAAGUCAUGUUUCUUUUUUAAUUUAAUCUCCUUAAUGCCUUUCUCAUAUAUUGUAUUGUGUGAGCAUACUUGGCUUUGGAUGCUACAUACCAUAAACAUAAACAUAUCUGUCUGUUUGAUUACAGGUGCUGUGAGGAAAAACACGGUGACACAGUCAGCCACGGAUGUGGAGGUCACCAAGCACGCAAUUUAGGUGGUUCAACCUGGCGGCGGAUCGGGCAGCGAGGAGACGUGUCCCGCCUCCAUCCACACAAAUGGAAAAAUAAGCAAUAAAUAACCUUUUUAUUGAACUUCUUGUCGUUCGCCAGUUAUUCAUUUUCUGAUAUUUUAGCUGUGCAUUUCAUUGAAGGUGUAGCCUAAUAGAUAAAAUAUUUUAUGUUUACACCGACCUAGGCCUAUAAAGCACUAAAUUAGGUUUUGACCACAAAAUGAAUGUAGAGUAGCCUCGCCAACGUAGGCUACUUAACAAAAACAGAAUAGGCUAUAACCAAUAACUUAACAUAAAUAUAAAUAUCAAUUUUAUAUUUCCAUUGAGUAGUGAUUACUUUUGUACAGUAAAUUCAUGUCUUGUCUUGACUUGAACCUUUUCUGUUAGGCCUAUUUACAAUAUUGUUAGGGUAAAAAUACAAGGCAAUGCAGAUUUAAGCUUAGGCCUAUAUUGCUGUAGUAGCCUAGGCCUAGUGAUAGUUUUAGUUUUAUCCUAUUUUAUCCUACAGCAAGUACAGAAGGGAUUUUGAAAAUGAGAUAAACGGGUCCAAAACGGACCCAGGCCUGAUGAGCCAGGAUUUUUAUGAGUCCGUUGCGGGUCCGCGGCGGAUGUAUGUAUCAAUUUUCGGGUCCCAAACGGACCCGCCGCGGAGGUAAGGUUUUAAUCGCGGAUGCGGAGCGAAUGCAGCGCGGAGCCACGGCGGGUCCGCGAUCCGCCUUCGUUGCGGAUCCGUCACUGCGCGCAAGUGGACGCCGAUACGGGUCCGUUUCGCGGUGUGUGGGUAUGCGGUUGCUAGGGUAUUCUGAGUGGUUGCUAGUAUGUUCCUAUGUGGUUGCUAGGGUAUUCUGAGUGGUUGCUAGUAUGUUCCUAUACGGUUGCUAGGGUAUUCUGAGUGGUUGCUAGUAUGUUCCUAUACGGUUGCUAGGGUAUUCUAGGUGGUUGCUAGUAUGUUCCUAUACGGUUGCUAGGGUAUUCUGAGUGGUUGCUAGUGUGUUCCUAUACGGUUGCUAGGGUAUUCUGAGUGGUUGCUAGUGUGUUCCUAUACGGUUGCUAGGGUAUUCUGAGUGGUUGCUAGUAUGUUCCUAUACGGUUGCUAGGGUAUUCUGAGUGGUUGCUAGAGUGUACCUAUGCAGUUGCUAGGGUAUUCUGAGUGGUUGCUAGUAUGUUCCUAUGUGGUUGCUAGGGUAUUCUAGGUGGUUUCUAGUAUGUUCCUAUACGGUUGCUAGGGUAUUCUGAGUGGUUGCUAGUAUGUUCCUAUGUGGUUGCUAGGGUAUUCUGAGUGGUUGCUAGUAUGUUCCUAUAUGGUUGCUAGGGUAUUCUAGGUGGUUGCUAGUAUGUUCCUAUACGGUUGCUAGGGUAUUCUGAGUGGUUGCUAGUGUGUUCCUAUACGGUUGCUAGUGUAUUCUGAGUGGUUGCUAGUAUGUUCCUAUACGGUUGCUAGGGUAUUCUGAGUGGUUGCUAGAGUGUACCUAUGC